GGUCUAAAGGUACCACAAUGGGAAAAUGGAGCCAGAAGUUCAACCAUGGGAGCUCAUCCAUGGAGUGAAACUUCAGUUCAGAACUCCAGUUGACUGCCUCAACUUCCUUAGUUGGUUUCUGCUAUCCCUGAUGCCUGCAUGUUCCUGGGGAAAGAGUGCUGCUAUUGUAUUGGUGAAUCUGGUCUGAUGGAAAAUAAUAUCAAGCCACUCCACAAAUUGUCUGAAGAACUUUGCCAAUACAAUCAGGGCACAUCUUUGUUCCAUUCUUUCUGGCAAUACUCACUCUUCCCAUGGAAAGGGCUGGAGAAAGCCUCAACAGAAACACAAGCUGCUGAAGUACCUUUCAGACCACCGAGGAGUAACAGCAAAGAGAAGGUUCAGGGAAGACCAGGGCCUCUGCCAGACAUUGUGACUGACCUGGAACUCACUAUGUAGACAAGAAUGGCCUUGAACUUACAGAGAUCCACCUGCUCUGCCUCCCUGGGUCCUGGGAUUAAAGAUGUGCAACAUUAAACCUGGCCUAACAUCCUUGAGUUUUAAAAUUCUAUCACACCCCACAAGUUCCAAAAUGAUAUCCAGACUCCAGUGUUUGAGCCACUAAGAGACACUGCCCAAGCUGCCCUCCACAUCUAGAAGCAGCAUGGACCCCACAACUGCUCACAGAGGUCAUCAGCUCAUUUACCCAACACACAUGUCAGAAUGUAGACAGGCCAGCCUAACACUACCAGUAACCCUGACUUACCCAACACACAUGUCAGAAUGUAGACAGGCCAGCCUAACAUUGCCAGUAGCCCUCUAUAGAUUCUCACUCAAGAUUCAGUGUGUAACACUGAAGAAAGUUCUAUAAUCAGAAAAUCUAGGGAAAUGUCAUCCACAUGAAGCUCUGUCCCUUCCUUUUUCCUGACCCACCAAACUCAAAUGAAGUAACAAGACUAUGCUUCCACAGAGACCACUGCCCAUUGGCCAUCAGGUGCUGUGAUCAGGGCUGCUCUAGGUAGAGUCUGGGAAGGUCUGAGAGGAAAGAAAACACUAGACAUGGCUGUCAAGCUGUGUGGUGGUGGCAGGGUUUCUUGGAAGAGAGAAUAUAGAGGGGAGCACCAGAGGCAAUGGAAGAAAUAAGCCAAUCACAUGGGCAGAUGGAAGUCUAGACAAGUGUAAGGGCAAAGUCAAAGCAGGAUGCUUAUCUCUACUGCUCCUUCUGCUGUGUUGUGCUGCAGAUAGAAUUAUAACUGUGUCUUCUUUCCUCUCCCACAUGCUUAUUUUAAUCAUUCCAGCUAGUCCAUCUUGCCCUCUGAAUGCUCACCACUAACCUUCAAAUUCCUUCUCCUCACAAAAGAUGAGAGCCCCACAAAUGUUUGUUUUUGAGUGUUGUACACAAGAGACAUUUGACUUUCCAUCACCAACCUACCUGCAGAAUCUAUGUCCCCACUAGCCCCAUCUUUGAGAUUCUCACCUCCAUAUAUANNNNNNNNNNUCCCACUGCCCUUACUCUGACUCUGUUUACUUUGUUGCCAGUACCCCCAUCUUUCUUGCUGUGUUGUGAUCAGCUGGGUCUACAGUUCUUCCAACAGUAUGGCUAAGCCCAACCUUUCAUGAGUGACAAGAAUUUAACAAGGAUUUGGUAAUAAAAGACAGACAGGCAUUGCAGCUCUGACAGUUAAAACUGGCCUUGGAAAUAAGGAAAUCCUCUCUCUGGGCACCCCCACUGGGCACCCCCAAAUUCAGCUCACAGCCCACCUUACCAGUUCUAGGUCCUGCAUUCUUUACACUUUCUAGAAAGGGGGAGAAAAUUGUCUGUAGUCACCCCACUCUCUUCAUCCUUGCCUGCAAUCCUGUCUCUAUAUUCCCAAAUCCCUACUUUCUUUUCUCAUAGGCCAUGUCCCAUCACAAUUAAUAGUUGGGUGCCUCUACCAUCUAGAGGCUAGUAUCAUCUUAGACAGGAAUGCAAUAAUAAAAUCAUGAGUCCAUUUUCAAAGUCUAGGUUCACAAGUCUAGCAUAUUACAGAACCAGGCUAUGAAAAAGCCCACCCUGAUGGGCCUUGAGCUGUCCUGUCUGGCCUCCCAGUCUAGAGUAGGAUAAGUCUCCAAUGCCCCACCUCACCACCAAGAACAUCCAGUUUCCUCUACAGUAGAAACAAUUACAGCUUUAUUCUUUGAAGACUAAACCUUUCUUAAAGAUGAAAGGUUUUCCUAUUGAAAACAUUUGCAAUGCUGUUCAUGAAGAAAACAGCUGUUUUGUGAUCAUACAUGACAAAAGCCCCUGAGAAAGCAGGAAUUAAAUUUCUGCCUUUGAUAAUGUUUGUUUUUUUUUUCCUUUAAGAAUCAAAUGUCAAUUGUAGUAUCUUCCUAGAACAAGGAAAUUUACACCAGAGGACAAUAACAUCAAACAAGACAGGCUUUCAAAGUUCAGGUCUCUCUUUUUGUUUCACCAAGAUUUCAAAGAUAUUAAGAAAAAGUCAUUGUUGUCAAUCAAAAUCAAAGAGUUACAAAUUUCUUUUCCCCAUGAAGGCCUCACAAGAAGGAUGUUUCCUGAGUAUAUGGUCUGAAGGGGGCCUUCUGUGUUGUGCUUCAUUAGCAGGGGAACUCUCAGGGUCCCUCAGUUGUAUCCUAGUAUCAUCAGAGCCUUGGUAUUAGAGCAAGUGCUGUGGUUUAAGGUAUGGCCACCAAUUCCAGCCCCACCUCCUUGGCGGCCCUACACAACUGCCAUUCCUCCCCAGCCCCCACUUCCUUUUCAGUCAGUGCCUGGAGCAGGGAGAUCCUGUCAUGUGACAACCCAUGUCAUUACAUUUAUCUUUACAAUACAGAUGGCAUGUUCUAUAAUGUCCCUUUUCUGCGGAGUAUCUAACCAAGGGAAUUGGACCUUGUCCUACCUUCAGACCACCUUGCUGGUUUAUUCCAGAGCUUGGACAAGCCAGCAAGCCUUCUCUGGUCUUAUCAGGGAUUUGUCCUAUUUGACAAAGCAAUAUGUUCAAGAGGAAGUCCUGUCAGUUUUGUUGGUGGGAAAACUACUCCUGAAGGAGUCCUGAUGGGAAUGUUCUUCUGUAUAUGUUUCUCUUAUUGGUUAAUGAAUAAAACACUGAUUGGCUGAUUGGCCAGACAAGAAGUGAUGUAGCUGGGCCGAAUCAGGAUAUAAGCAGGGACAAACAGGAAAUCACUCUUCUCUGUGGAGACACUUAGCAAUUGACAUGUAGCCACCAAAGGAGUUAGAGGUCUGGACCCUUCUCCGGUGAGAUAAGACCAUGUGGAAAUACUUAGAUUAAUAGAAACAGGUUAAUAAUUAAGACAGAGCUAGCCAAUAAGAAGUCCUAGUCAUCGGCAGAUUCAUAAUUAAUAAAAGUCUCUCUGUGCUUAUUUGGGUCUCAAGGAUUGCAAGGCCAGAAAACUCAUGCUACAGAGCCCUACAUCUCAGACACUGUACCAGGUACUGACAACUGUAAAGCCUGCUUCAGUCAUAAAAGAGAUCACAGUGCAACCACUGAAAAAGACUAUGACCCAAUGCUGUGACCCAAUCUGCAUAUUUUAGGGAAGCCAAAUCAAAGCAGUUCCCACUGAAAAACAGAACUCCUGUUCUCUGUUGACUAGCUAGAUUGCUCUCGAAAAUGAGAAACUUGUUUUAGGGACACUUAAUAUUGCCUCUUCAUUUAAGAAAGAUGGAGGAAAAUCUGGUGAGAGUGAGGUGCAGGCCCCUGCAGUCAUGAGUCCCUGGAGCCCUAAGUCAUCAUCUAAUCCGGUAUCUCCAGAAAAAGGACUAGGUGUGCCAACCUGGUAACCCACACAUUGGCACUGUGCCCAGUCCAAGGAUAAGCCUACUGGUGGCCCUUAUGCAAAAAAACCUGUUUGUACAGGAUGAGUGGGUCAGUGUUUAGUGAGUGACAUUGCAGCCAGUAAGUGUUUAGUGAGAUGACAUUGCACUUUCAAAGCCCAGUCUUUGCUGCAGCAAUCAGGCAGGUAAGAGCAGCCUCGUGGUGUAUGAGAAGUGAGGGCCCCAGGACUCUCCACACUGAUUUCCCAGUAAGUGCCGUGGAACUGAGGUGAGUGAAAACUGAGAAACCUAGGCAGGAGUGGCCCACAGCAUAGAUUAGACCCCACCCCCUCAAUACAUAACCCAGUUAGUCAACCCCAAAACCAUUUGACCUCCCAAGGAGCUCUUGAUCCUUGAUAACCACAUCUCAAAAAGAGCUCCUUUGCCUACCUGUCAUCUCUAAAUGGCAUCUGCAAAUGAAGGCCAUUGGGUGGAAAGGAUACAGGAAUGUAUCUCAGUGGUGCUAAGAAUAUGGUGAUUAAAACCUCAGGCUCUGAAGCCAGAUUGCCUAGGUUCAAAUCCUGAUUCCACUUUGUGCAAACUGAUGAGAAUCCAGUCUGCAGGCUUCUGGAAAGUAGAAGUAAAAGAAGCAAUUGUUACAUUA
rnacentral:lncRNA from 1 species